rnacentral:tRNA from 2 species
GACCCUUUCGUCUAGUGGCUCAGGACAUCACAUUCUCAGUGUGAAAACGGUGGUUCAAAACCCCCAAGGGUCGCCA